UACAGAGGGGGCAAGCGUUGUUCGGAAUUACUGGGCGUAAAGGGCGCGUAGGUGGCCUUCUAAGUUGAACGUGAAAUCCCUGGGCUCAACCCAGGAACUGCGUCCAAGACUGUGAGGCUUGAAUCCGGGAGAGGGAUGCGGAAUUCCAGGUGUAGCGGUGAAAUGCGUAGAUAUCUGGAGGAACACCGGUGGCGAAGGCGGCAUCCUGGACCGGUAUUGACACUGAGGCGCGAAAGCCAGGGGAGCAAACGGG
rnacentral:rRNA from 1 species